GCGCUCACCUUGAGGCCGCGGAUCUCGCCGAGGUGCAGCUGCAGGCGGCGGUUCACCUCGCGGAUGAGGUUGCUGUGGUCCAGCAUCGCGCUCACCUUCUCCGCCUCGGCGCGCCGCAGGCUGCGGAUCAGCUCCUCCUUGCUCCACUGCAGCAGCUCCUCGUCCGACACUUUGGACAGGUCCUCCACCGGCGCGGGCGGGGCCGCGGACGAGCCGGCCGGGGCUGGGGAACAACUUUCCGCCGCCGCCGCAGCCGCCGCCGCGCCUCCGGCCGCCUUCGACAUGGUACUAUGGCAGAAAUGGCCAGGGAAGGGUUUAUCUAACCACCAGGAGUACGCAAAGAAGAGAGGUCCAGCCAGCCUGCCUCUCAGAUUGUUAAGAUGCCAGGUGUCUUUUGGCUCAUGGAAACAGCUGUUCUGCCCCCUCCCGAACCCUAGACUCACAGCUACACUCUAUGGGGAAAGGACAAAGGGAAGGCUGCUUCCUGAAGAGAUCUCCAUAUGGAAGAGCUGCAGAUCACAAACAACCCACACAGCCAUUGUAACGCCUGCUUGCCUGGUCACUUGUGUUUCUGAGAAGCCAUAACUCCAAGAAUAGCGAAGGGAAGAAAAUGCCAAAAAGCAGGGGCUGCCUAACAGGUCUGACUUGCAAGGCAAACUCCUGGCAGGCCUGGCCAGCUUCUGCUUGUCCCAGUGCAAUCCCACCCCCAUAGGAUCUGGAAUUUUUCAGUCCCUUUGCUAAGAUUCCUGAAAUAGACUUAAUGAAGAGCCUCAGAAGUGAAAAUUCCUCUUCACACAUUUGCUCAAGAAGAUUGCUUUUCUCCUAACACAGAAAUCAGCUGCCUUGAGGAUGUGCAAGUUUGAUUAGGGAGUCUGCUCUUGCCUAUUUCUCAAACGGUUCAGGCCCUGACAGAAUCAGUGUCACCCCUAAGGUAUUUGCUUCAAAUGCCCCCCAUAUAAUCAAAACUUAUAAAUGAUAAACCAAAAGUUGAGGUACACUCAUUGCCUUUCAGAAUGAAACCUUCCAAGGGGCCAUGAUCAUAUUGUGACUGGACAAGAACUAUCAUGGAUGAGGCACAUCAUCUUUUGGAACCAUCUAUGGAACAGAUAUUAUUAUUCCAUUUUGCGGAAGAGGAAUCUGAGGCUCAGGCCAGACAGAUGCAGCUAACGUUGAGUGGCAUCCUGAUGAUCACCUUCAUCACAAAAGGAAGGAGUGCUCUGAGGACUGUAGGUGGCUCUCAGAACCCUGACCUCCACGGCAGCCAUCAAGGAGUGGCAAAGGGGGUCCACAGUGGCAUAUGCAGUGAGAUCCAAGUUUUAGGCAUUCGGAGUAGAGCAAGCCACGAAUGAGAACAGGUUCUGAAAGUGACAGAAAAGGAGUCACUUUUUUGGUUCCAUAUGAACUUUAAGGUAGUUUUUUCCCAGUUCUGUGAAGAAAGUCAUUGGUAGCUUGAUGGGGAUGGCAUUGAAUCUAUAAAUUACCUUGGACAGUAUGGCCAUUUUCAUGAUAUUGAUUCUUCCUACCCAUGAGCAUGGAAUGUUCUUCCAUUUGUUUGUAUCCUCUUUUAUUUCCUUGAGCAGUGGUUUGUAGUUAUCCUUGAAGAGGUUCUUCACAUCCCUUGUAAGUUGGAUUCCUAGGUAUUUUAUUCUCUUUGAAGCAAUUGUGAAUGGGAGUUCACUCAUGAUUUGGCUCUCUGUUUGUCUGUUGUUAGUGUAUAAGAAUGCUUGUGAUUUUUGUACAUUGAUUUUGUAUCCUGAGACUUUGCUGAAGUUGCUUAUCAGCUUAAGGAGAUUUUGGGCUGAGACAAUGGGGUUUUCUAGAUAUACAAUCAUGUCAUCUGCAAACAGGGACAAUUUGACUUCCUCUUUUCCUAAUUGAAUACCCUUUAUUUCCUUGUCCUGCCUAAUUGCCCUGGCCAGAACUUCCAACACUAUGUUGAAUAGGAGUGGUGAAAGAGGACAUCCCUGUCUUGUGCCAGUUUUCACAGGGAAUGCUUCCAGUUUUUGCCCAUUCAGUAUGAUAUUGGCUGUGGGUUUGUCAUAGAUAGCUCUUAUUAUUUUGACAUACGUCCCAUCAAUACCUAAUUUAUUGAGAGUUUUUAGCAUGAAGCGUUGUUGAAUUUUGUCAAAGGCCUUUUCUGCAUCUAUUGAGAUAAUCAUGUGGUUUUUGUCUUUGGUUCUGUUUAUAUGCUGGAUUACAUUUAUUGAUUUGUGUAUAUUGAACCAGCCUUGCAUCCCAGGGAUGAAGCCCACUUGAUCAUGGUGGAUAAGCUUUUUGAUGUGCUGCUGGAUUCGGUUUGCCAGUAUUUUAUUGAGGAUUUUUGCAUCAAUGUUCAUCAGGGAUAUUGGUCGAAAAUUCUCUUUUUUGGUUGUAUCUCUGCCCGGCUUUGGUAUCAGGAUGAUGCUGGCCUCAUAAAAUGAGUUAGGGAGUAUUCCCUCUUUUUCUAUUGAUUGGAAUAUCACCAAGUCCAUCCUAAGCCAAAAGAACAAAGCUGGAGGCAUCACACUACCUGACUUCAAACUAUACUACAAGGCUACAGUAACCAAAACAGCAUGGUACUGGUACCAAAACAGAGAUAUAGAUCAAUGGAACAGAACAGAGCCCUCAGAAAUAACACCGCAUAUCUACAAUUAUCUGAUCUUUGACAAACCUGACAAAAACAAGCAAUGGGGAAAGGAUUCCCUAUUUAAUAAAUGGUGCUGGGAAAACUGGCUAGCCAUAUGUAGAAAGCUGAAACUGGAUCCCUUCCUUACACCUUAUACAAAAAUCAAUUCAAGAUGGAUUAAAGACUUAAACGUUAGACCUAAAACCAUAAAAACCCUAGAAGAAAACCUAGGCAUUACCAUUCAGGACAUAGGCAUAGGCAAGGACUUCAUGUCUAAAACACCAAAAGCAGUGGCAACAAAAGCCAAAAUUGACAAACGGGAUCUAAUUAAGCUAAAGAGCCUCUGCACAGCAAAAGAAACUACCAUCAGAGUGAACAGGCAACCUACAAAAUGGGAGAAAAUUUUCGCAACCUACUCAUCUGACAAAGGGCUAAUAUCCAGAAUCUACAAUGAACUCAAACAAAUUUAC
rnacentral:lncRNA from 1 species